GAUGAAGAACGCAGCGAAAUGCGAUAAGUAAUGUGAAUUGCAGAAUUCAGUUAAUCAUCGAAUCUUUGAACGCACAUUGCGCCCGCCAGCAUUCUGGCGGGCAUGCCUGUUCGAGCGUCAUUUCAACCCUCAAGCUCUGCUUGGUGUUGGGGCCCUACGUCUGACGUAGGCCCUCAAAGACAGUGGCGGACCCUCUCGGAGCCUCCUUUGCGUAGUAACUAACGUCUCGCACUGGGAUUCGGAGGGACUCUUGCCGUAAAACCCCCAAUUUUUACAGGUUGACCUCGGAUCAGGUAGGAAUACCCGCUGAACUUAAGCAUAUCAAUAAGCGGAGGA
rnacentral:misc_RNA from 1 species